rnacentral:tRNA from 1 species
GCGGUGGUGGCGAAAUUGGUAGACGCGCUAGCUUCAGGUGCUAGUGUCCGUUAGGACGUGAGGGUUCAAGUCCCUCCCUCCGCA